rnacentral:rRNA from 1 species
GACGAACGCUGGCGGCGUGCUUAACACAUGCAAGUCGAACGAUGAACCGGAGCUUGCUCUGGGGAUUAGUGGCGAACGGGUGAGUAACACGUGGGCAACCUGCCCCAGACACCGGGAUAACCAUUCGAAAGGAUGGCUAAUACCGGAUACGACCACUUCGGGCAUCCGAUGGUGGUGGAAAGGAUUCUGGUCUGGGAUGGGCCCGCGGCCUAUCAGCUUGUUGGUGGGGUAAUGGCCUACCAAGGCGACGACGGGUAGCCGGCCUGAGAGGGCGACCGGCCACACUGGGACUGAGACACGGCCCAGACUCCUACGGGAGGCAGCAGUGGGGAAUAUUGCGCAAUGGGCGAAAGCCUGACGCAGCGACGCCGCGUGAGGGACGAAGGUCUUCGGAUUGUAAACCUCUUUCAGCAGGGAUGAAGCGAAAGUGACAGUACCUGCAGAAGAAGCACCGGCUAACUACGUGCCAGCAGCCGCGGUAAAAC